GACGAACGCUGGCGGCGUGCCUAAUACAUGCAAGUUGAGCGAUGAAGCUUGGUGCUUGCACCAAUUUGAAGAGCAGCGAACGGGUGAGUAACGCGUGGGGAAUCUGCCUUUGAGCGGGGGACAACAUUUGGAAACGAAUGCUAAUACCGUAUAACAACUUUAAACAUAAGUUUUAAGUUUGAAAGAUGCAAUUGCAUCACUCAAAGAUGAUCCCGCGUUGUAUUAGCUAGUUGGUGAGGUAAAGGCUCACCAAGGCGAUGAUACAUAGCCGACCUGAGAGGGUGAUCGGCCACAUUGGGACUGAGACACGGCCCAAACUCCUACGGGAGGCAGCAGUAGGGAAUCUUCGGCAAUGGACGAAAGUCUGACCGAGCAACGCCGCGUGAGUGAAGAAGGUUUUCGGAUCGUAAAACUCUGUUGGUAGAGAAGAACGUUGGUGAGAGUGGAAAGCUCAUCAAGUGACGGUAACUACCCAGAAAGGGACGGCUAACUACGUG
rnacentral:rRNA from 1 species